UACGUAGGGGGCAAGCGUUGUCCGGAAUCAUUGGGCGUAAAGCGCGCGUAGGCGGCCCGGUAAGUCCGCUCUGAAAGUCCAGGGCUUAACCCUGGAAAGCGGGUGGAUACUGCCGGGCUAGAAUCCGGAAGAGGCGAGUGGAAUUCCUGGUGUAGCGGUGGAAUGCGCAGAUAUCAGGAAGAACACCAAUGGCGAAGGCAGCUCUCUGGGACGGUACUGACGCUGAGACGCGAAAGCGUGGGGAGCGAACAGG
rnacentral:rRNA from 1 species